rnacentral:rRNA from 1 species
UACGGGGGGAGCAAGCGUUGUUCGGAUUUACUGGGCGUAAAGGGCGCGUAGGCGGUCAGCACAAGUCAGUUGUGAAAUCUCCGGGCUUAACUCGGAAAGGUCAACUGAUACUGUGCGACUAGAGUGCGGAAGGGGCAACUGGAAUUCUCGGUGUAGCGGUGAAAUGCGUAGAUAUCGAGAGGAACACCUGCGGCGAAGGCGGGUUGCUGGGCCGACACUGACGCUGAUGCGCGAAGGCGUGGGGAGCGAACGGG